GAUGGGGACACCGCUGGAAGAAAAACUCGCCAACCUUGUUGGAGUCUGGGGAUCUGUGUCCUUCCGGGUUUACUCGGCCUCUGUUCCUUUCUGAUGAUUGGACUCUACCUGUGCUCAGGUAAACUGGGUCCUUGCUGCUGUAAUCCAGGGAGACAGCAUUCUUUGAGGAUCACAGAGGAAGAUUCUUUACAUUACUCCAGUCUGAGGCAUCCAGAUAAGCCCCGCCCGUCUGUCAAGACCAGACCUAGAUUGGCAGAAGAUCUGGUCACAUAUUCUACAGUGACCACUCGCAAAAACUUAAAUGGAUAACAAGCAGAAAAUAGAUCAUUUUAUUUCUGCUCAGCGACUCUUAAUAUGACAUUUGUUGAUUCUUAGGAAACUUUAUUCUAGUUUAAAAGUAAAAUCAUUUUCUAUUGUUUUUUUUCUGAUUAAUUUUCAAAUAUAGGCUAUAUAUAUAUAUAUAUUUUUUUUUUUUUCCCCAGUAAAUCUAGAGCAUACACGGAUUUCUAGAUAACUGCUUUAGUCCUUCAGUAGUGCUAAAUAAAAUAUUAAUAUUUCAAAUCUUCUGCUAUACCCACAAAGCGGGACACAAUAUGGGACUACAAUGCAACUCAAUAUAAAAAAUAUAGCAAUGUAUUUUAAGCACCUCUUAGCCUCGUGUGCAAUUACAUUUCAAUUAAUAUCAAAGCAAAAGUAGCAAUUCUGAAAAUAAAUUUCAUGUUUGCAAUUUAGUUUACAAUUUUAGUUUAGGAUUAACCUAACAAUAAAUCGUUCGGUUCACAUUUUUAAAUCACAUGAUUUGAAAUUUAAAAUCUGAAUCUCUUUUAUAUCUGACGAAGAAAGAAAGUAUUGUUAGUUUUGUUGUUGUUGUUUCUAUGUGAAUACAACCCUAUACAUAUUAAAUAUAACUGAGUCUGUUAAUAUGAGGUUGAUCUGGACUCCUAACAGAAUAAAGGUACAGUACAGCAACAAAUUCAAUAGCUCAUAUAAAAUGUAAUUAAUUGCUAUAAUUAAAUAUAGGAUAUCGUAAGAGUUUUGAACAGGUGCUAUGACAAAGCAAAGACAAACAACAAAUCAACAUACCCAGGUAACAUAAUCUCAUUAUUCUCAAGAUGAAUAUGAGGUAUAAUGUAAGUUAUAUCACUCAUUUUUGUUUACUGUUAAAAUUUUGUGUAACUGUGGUAAAAAUGUUUUUUUUUCUUUUGCUUCCUGCUGACAUCUAUAUAACCAGUAAGCUACUG